rnacentral:piRNA from 1 species
UAAUAAGGAAAUCUGUGCUCUUGACUUCA